CAAAUGAUGCUCGGAACUGGAAUUACCAUCUGAACGCGUACCACGCAAAUCGAAGAUACGAUGCCGUGCACAUUACCUCCGCUGUUACUCGGAUGACUGAU
rnacentral:snoRNA from 17 species